GAAGGGAGUGGGAGGGGGCAGCAGUAGCUCUCUAUUGUCAGCCAUGAAACACCAUCAACCAUCUCCGAAUUUGGGACUCUGAUUGAGACGGCAUCACGACGUGGGAUCUAUCUGAUACGAUCUUCUUUUUGAGACGGAUUGAAGCCAUCAGGAGGUUCCAGUUGCUAGUCUCCACUCCGUGUCACGACGAUUUUCUAUUUUAGGACUUUUGUUUCCUUGUUAUGUGAUCUACAUACUUAUGAUGUGUAGUUCUUGCGCUCGUGGAUUUUAUAUCGAGUUUUUGGUAUGCUGCCCAUGUUUUCCACUGCGAUAGUUUUCCGUUGUGGGUUAUGAGUUGAUGUAUAGUCAGCCUGAGGCUAAACUAUUAUAA